rnacentral:rRNA from 1 species
CCUACGGGUGGCAGCAGUAGGGAAUCUUCCACAAUGGACGAAACCCUGAUGGAGCAACGCCGCGUGAGUGAAGAAGGGUUUCGGUUCGUAAAGCUCUGUUGGUAGUGAAGAAAGACGGAGGGAGUAACUGGCCUCUAUGUGACGGUACUUACUUAGAAAGUCACGGCUAACUACGUGCCAGCAGCCGCGGUAAUACGUAGGUGGCAAGCGUUGUCCGGAUUUAUUGGGCGUAAAGCGAGUGCAGGCGGGUAAAUAAGUCUGGUGUGAAAGCCUUCGGCUCAACCGGAGUAUAGCAUCAGAAACCGUGCAACUUGAGUGCAGGAGAGGAGCGUGGAACUCCAUGUGUAGCGGUGGAAUGCGUAGAUAUAUGGAAGAACACCAGUGGCGAAGGCGGCGCUCUGGUCUGCAACUGACGCUGAGGCUCGAAAGUAUGGGUAGCGAACAGGAUUAGAUACCCCAGUAGUC